AUUGAACGCUGGCGGCAGGCCUAACACAUGCAAGUCGAGCGAGCGGCGGACGGGCGAGUAAUGUAUGGGGACUGCCCGAUAGAGGGGGAUAAAUACUGGAAACGGUGGCUAAUACCGCAUACUAUCGGAUAACCCAUAUGGGAUUAGCGAGUAGUUGGGGAAAAGGCUCACCUAGGCGACGAUCUCUCGCUGGUCUGAGAGGAUGACCAGCCACACUGGGACUGAGAUACGGCCCAGAUUCCUACGGAGGCAGCAGUGGGGAAGAGUGCAGAAUGGGCGCAAGCCUGAUGCCUCCAUGCCGCGUGUAGGAAUAAGUCCUUAGGGUUGUAAAGUACUUUCAGCGGGGCGGCGUUACCCGCAGAAGAAGCACCGGCUAACUCCGUGCCAGCAGCCGCGGUAAUUC
rnacentral:rRNA from 1 species